rnacentral:tRNA from 1 species
AAGCAGGUCUGAGACAAAAGAAGGCUUCUAACCUUCCUUUGAGGCGUUUAAAUCGCUUCCUGCUUU